CCAUUGAUCUACUAUCAUCCAAGUCCCAUACUCACUCCCCGCUACCAUAUAAAAACCAAAUUAACAUCCAAAAACCCUAAGCUAAUUACCCCACUUCAGACACAAAAGACUCCAGCAGCCACCCCUUCUUCAAAAAUCAAAACCAUACACCUAAAAUCAGCGGCACCUAAAAGUUGUAGUUUGGUGAUGAUAUUUUCAGCAAGUUAAAAAAAAACAUUGUGAGUCGAAUAUUAACAGAUCGGCUAAACCAGAACAUCUCUAUACAAAGGUUCAGAUUUGAACACCACCAGAUUUCGGCCUGAAAUUGUUCAGAUUAGCCGGUCUUGCGAUUUUUCGACGAUUCAAGUUUCGAUUUUCUAUUCGAGGUUACUUUGCCGGUCCGAGGUUCUAGUUAGUACCUCGUUUGAGAGUUGCUAUUUCUUUGGUGUUUGCUUGCUUUGUAUACAGCAAAAAGGUUAGAAUCCAAUAACAAAAAGUCUAUUUUCAUUUACAUAUGAUUUUAGUUGGUUUCUAGUUUGAAAAUGUGACUUUCUCCUGUCACAUUAGUAAGUGACGCUGUGAUUUAUGAAUGUGCUAUGCUUCCUCUGUUAGUCUCUUGAAUUAGUUUCAUUAUUGAGGAUCUUGAUUAGGAGGAGAUGAUAAUGAAAAUUCUUGGGUAAUGCAACUAUUUUCAUUUGAGUUUCAAUUGGGUAGUUACUGCUUUUAACAAUGUGACAAUGAUCUUUAACAAUGUUCUUGUGCCGAACAAGUUUAAUCUCGAGGCCUCAUUGAUUUUAGUCAAUAGAUUAAGAUAAAUGUCUCAUAAUUUUAAAGGUAGAGUAGAUAACUCCUUCCAUAGUUAUCAUGCCUUACAAUAAUCUCUAAUUAGCUUUAGGAAAUAGUUAAUGAACAUCGUAGCUCGCUUUAGGCACUAUUAAUAAUAAAUCCUCGCGACUAUGGAUACGGUUCCCAUGGCAUAGUAGUGAUACAUAAAUCCAAAUUCGGGUGUGCAUUUCAUGUAACCCGACCAUAACUUCGAAUAAAUAUAAAAAAUAACAUGUUGUAAAUCGCUGGUGCGUUUCACGUGGCGUGAUUCGCAAUAUAUACAAAACAGACGAGUGCGCGACAUCGCGACUUGUUCAAAUAAAACUCCAUAAAUACUAAAAGCGGUUAAAUAAAUAAUUAAAAGCGGUUGAAGAGCAAAAAUGCACAACAGGUUUUAAACAUAUAAUUAAUCAGCUAAUUAAGCCAAUUAUUAAUAGACGAGCGACCGUGAUAAAACCAUGAAACUCGGGAGUGCCUCACACCUUCUCCCGGGUUAACAGAAUUCCUUACUUGGUCUUCUGUGUUCGUAGACCAUAAAUAAGAGUCAAUUUUCUCGAUUUGGGAUUUAAAAUAAAUCGGUGACUUGGGACACCAUAAAAGUAUUCCAAAUGGCGACUCUGAUUAAUUAAAUAAUCUCAUUUCGAUUAAUAUCACUUAAAUUAGAAAAACUCCCCUAUCAACUCGGGAAAAAGGAGGUGUGACAACUCUCAUGACUCUGCUGGGAAACUAACCCAGAAUCUCUGGUUCAGGAUUCAGAGCUUAAAAUAAUUGUUAUACUUGGCUACUUUUAAUUGUCUGAUAUUACUUGUUUGAGUCUAAUGUGCUAAUUGCCUCUCUUUACCGCUUUGAUAUUGUUGUGAACUGCAUAUAAACUGUUACGAAAACACUUCUUCUCUCUGAGUCUUCUAAUAGUUUUUGGAAGCGUGCCCUUCGCGUGCCCUCUUUUCUGUUAGAGUCAUAUCCUAAUUUUAGAAUGAGGUUCGGACAAGUUGCAAAGCCGGUGAACUUUCUGUAUUCCCGGUAUACUGCCCCCCUCCCCCGGCUCGAGUUGUUCGCUAGGGUAAGCUAGGUCUGGAACAAUACACCCAGAAUUCAAACUUAGAAUGACAUAGCCUCAUGCCGGAUCCCUAGUAGGUAUGAUAUUUGCAUCACGUGCAUUUGACUUUGGGAACAUAACACAAGGGUUGGGUCCGUCAAGGAUGGGUGUACCCAAAAAUUAAAAGACCAUACUGAUGUAUUUUACGUGCUACUUGUGCAUUCAUUUGCUUCAUCUUGUAUGCUGACCGGCUUCUAGAAUAGGGAAAGAAAAUCAAGAAAAAACAAGAGUGAGGUAGGUAUUUGAAACAUUUCAAAACUCUCCCAAAAUUGUUUAAAAAAAAAGAGAAAGAAAAUAAGUCGAAUUCAAAAAGUCAUGUUUCCCUUGUUCCGUCAAAACUAGCGAACUACGCAGGUCUGAUUUUCACCGAAUAUGAGAUACGUAGGCAAACCUCAUCGGUUCCGGCUCACAAUUUUCAAAAAUUCAAAAAUAUUUUCCUUUACUUCCUUCUUUAGAUUUUAAAAAUUAAAAAAUAUUUUUCUUUCGAAAAUUGAAAAGAAAAUUCAAGAUUCAAAAUUUUUAUUUUCUUUAGAAGUAUUUCUUUCAUAAAUUCAAAAUAAAAGUUCAAAAAUCCAAAAAUAUUUCCUUUUUUAUUUCGAUGUUUUUCUUGCGAAAUUCCCAAAAACAAAAUCAUUGAUUUAAAAAAUAAUAUGUAUAUAUUUUCUUUCUUCUUUAGAAGUUUUUCUUUUCCAAAAUUCUUUAAAAAAAAAAAUCAAAAUCCAAAAAUAUUUCCUUUCUUCUUUAAAAGUCUUUCUUUCGGAAAUUCAAAAAAAAAAAGAGUUAGUUUAUUUCCUUUAUUCCCGAUCUUCCCGAACUACGCAUACUUGAUUCUCGUCUUUCGGGGCGGGAUACGUAGGCAGACCAUAUAGGUUUUGGUCUUCCUAGUGAGUUUUAAGUUCUUGGCUUUGGUGGUCGUAGCCAAAUCUUACAUGCCUAGCCACGUUUGGCCACAUCGGUCAUUUUUGCAAAAUAGGGAUAUUUUCGCUAAAGUAGCUUGUUAACCCAUGUCUUAGAGUCCUAAGUCCACAAUAAGAUGUUCUCUCAGUUUAAGGUCCAUUCUUGUUGAAUUUGCAUGCUUAGCUAUUUUUCGGCCACAUAGGUCAUUUCUGCAAAGUGGGAUCAUUUUUGCAAAGCAAUUUUAGGGACCGUGAUUCCUGAGAGUUUAUGAGCCUUCGUAAGAUGGUUUGGAUCUAUUUACCAGAGGUUGAGCAUGACAGACGCCCUAGGUCCAUCCCAUUCAGGACUGUUGCCUUCACAAGCUGUUUGAGGAGACUUAUAUUUGGGAGGUGCCGUUGGUUUUCCAAAAUAAAGGUUGAUGCGUGACAAGUUUGGAUUUGAACAAACACCAUUCCGAUUCUAUUCAACCAAAAGUAAUGUUGGCCAUAAAUGACAACUCAUGUGCUUUCAAGACCAUACCCAUCUUAUUUCAAUCCAUAUUCACAUAAAAAGAUAACAUAGACGAUGUUCCCCUCGACACAAACCGUCACUUCCUUUCAUGCCUUGACCCUUUUUGAACAUUUCAAGGUCUUGAUUAAUUAAAAGGAUUCAUUGAGCUGAUUCAAAAUAGAGGAUACCAAUGCCCCUUGUUCUCACAUGCUAUAAUAGCUUAUGACCUUAUCCAAAGGACACAAGAAUAGUGCAGAUCGCAAUCCUUUCUCGUGCCAAAAGGACUUGUUUGUUGUUUUAAUUUGGUCAUUCUUUCGGAUAGACCGGUUCAACCCGGGGUUUUGGAUCGUGUUUUGCUUGUCUUGUUCAACCCCCCGUGUCCUUUUCACCUUUCUCUCUCAAAUGAAAUCUUUUACUCAUUCCCCAUUAUUAUUGCAUUUUUUCAUUCGCCUUCACUGUAGUUCACCAUCUUCUAGCCUAAUUAAUGUGACAUGCGUCUUGACCAGUGGCAAGGUUUGGACAUAAACACAAGCUUUCAGGUAAUGAGUUAUAAAAUAAUAAAGUUCCAAGGUAAAAGAUGAUAAUGAAUUUCACAUUCAGGAAGAAACAAGUUUUUGAGCUGAUGAUAAGCACAUCUAGGGCUCAAUUGAAGAGGGAAUUCGCAAGUGGAAUCUGAAGUAAUUUUAGUUCUAUCCUCCAAACGUAUGUUAAUCCUUCAGGAUAUUCCAGGUGAAAUCAGUGUGAAGCAUGUCUUGAGUUGACAUUUUUAGAGUUGAAAUGACGAAAGGCUAUCUUUCUGCUAUCCGAACACUAAUACCUUUUGUUAGCCCUUUGAGCCUUAAUAUAUUUGUCUUUCAUUGGCAACCCUCUUUUAUAAUCAAGUGUUUGUUAAGGUUUAAAGUGGUCCUGACUUGAAUUUAAUAUUGAAAAAUAAAAAGAGAAAAAGAAAAAAGGAGAAAAAAAGAGAGAGAUCCUUAUACCAUGUAGUUCUUUGAACUACGUUCGACCUGAUUCUUGUUACCACAAGAUGCGUAGGCAGCCUUACGGUUCGGUCGCACCAAAUAAAAUAUUUCCUAAUCCCACGAAGUCAAGAGUGGGGCAGGUUUAUUGGAAAUUUCAUCUCAAAAAGAAAAGAAAAAGAAAAGAGAAAGAAAAAAAAGAAAAAAGAAAACAAACACUCAAAUUCUCUCUGACAAAAUCAGCGCCACCUCCCAAAUAUAGAAAGAUCUCCAUCGUCACUCUCUCUGACAAAACGAAAAGUUGUAGUUUAGUGAUGAUAUUUUCAGCAAGUUAAAAAAAAUAUUGUGAGUCAAAUUUUAGCAGAUCGGCAAAACCAAAACAUCUCUAUAAAAAGGUUCAGAUUCGAACACCACCAGAUUUCGGCCUGAAACUGUUCAGAUUUAGCCGGUCCUGCCAUUAUUCGACGAUUUGAGUUUCGAUUUUUUGUUCGGGGUUACGCUGCUGGGGCAAAGUUUUUUCCAAAAGUUGUAAAAAAAGUUUUUAAAAAAUGGAUUCCAAAAGUUAUAAAUAAAGUAACCAUGUCAUUACAAUUUUGAGCCUCCAUGCGGUCCUUUCUUUCUCACCCUGUCCAAAUGCCUUCAUUACGAUCCAAAUAAAAGUCCAUAUCAGAUUGAUUACUAAAAAUGCCAAGUCAAGCAUGUUGUGAGCUUAUCAAGAUUUUUGUGGAAAUCAAUAACGAUUAAGGGGUAGUCAAUUAUCCAAGUUAAGAAUUGGAAGCGGCAAUGAAUGAGAGCAAAGAGGAAAAUGAGAUAGACUUGUUGGUGAAAACCUUUCGAGGCACUACAGGUCGAAAUGUGUCACGACCCAAAAAUCGAACCAUGGUCGUGAUGGCACCUAUCGUGUUACAAGUCAAGCCUAUUUCCUAAAAUAUUACUACUAAACCGAUUAUAAGAAUUUAAUAAAAUAUUUCAACAUUUGAAUUUCUCAUAAACUAAAUCAACUUUAAAUAUAAUUUUAGAAAUACGGAAACGAACCCCAAACAUCGGGGUGUCACUAAAUCAUGAGCGUCUAAAUCUAUGAACUAAGAAAUGAAACUGUCUAACUAUCAAUACAAUCCAAAAGAAGAAAUGAUAAAAGGAGUGACAAGGUCCUUCAGACGCUAGCAGCUACCUUGCAAUCUCCACAGAUAGCCGGCAUGAACUCAACGAUCGCCGUGCUAUAACUCACCUGAAUCUGCACAUAAAGUGCAUGGUGUAGCAUGAGUACAACCACCUCAGCAAGUAACAGAAAAAACUAAGGAACNNNNNNNNNNNNNNNNNNNNNNNNNNNNNNNNNNNNNNNNNNNNNNNNNNNNNNNNNNNNNNNNNNNNNNNNNNNNNNNNNNNNNNNNNNNNNNNNNNNNNNNNNNNNNNNNNNNNNNNNNNNNNNNNNNNNNNNNNNNNNNNNNNNNNNNNNNNNNNNNNNNNNNNNNNNNNNNNNNNNNNNNNNNNNNNNNNNNNNNNNNNNNNNNNNNNNNNNNNNNNNNNNNNNNNNNNNNNNNNNNNNNNNNNNNNNNNNNNNNNNNNNNNNNNNNNNNNNNNNNNNNNNNNNNNNNNNNNNNNNNNNNNNNNNNNNNNNNNNNNNNNNNNNNNNNNNNNNNNNNNNNNNNNNNNNNNNNNNNNNNNNNNNNNNNNNNNNNNNNNNNNNNNNNNNNNNNNNNNNNNNNNNNNNNNNNNNNNNNNNNNNNAAAUCACCAUAUAUACAAGUAUUAGGGCUCAAGUAACUUACCUCAACGAAACCCCCUUGAUUCCCUCUUCAAAUCUUUCCCAAAAGCUCUAAAAACCAAAUAGAAAUGGUGAAGAACGCACUAAAAUUCGCGAAGUGUGAUAUAUAGGAUCUGCCCCAGGGAUUCCGCACCUGCGGACCCUUCAUCUCACAUGCACUUCAGCAUCUGCGGACACAGGUGCGCACCUGCGCAUUCCGCUUAACCGACCAGACUUUGCACCUGCGGCAGCUUCCUCGCACCUCCGAGCCCGCAGGUGUGAUCCAAUCUUUGCAUCUGUGACCAAGCCCCAGGCCUCCAUCUCCGCAUCUGCGAGCCUCUUACACACCUACGAUCAUCGCACCUGCGGUUCCCAAUCCGCAGGUGCGGACACACUAGAACAGCAGCUCCAGCUGCAUUUCCAACGUGCAAACUCCUCGAUACCUAUCCGAAAUCAUCCUGAGACCCUCGGGACCUCAACCAAAAAUACCAACAAGUCAUAUAUCAACAUAACAACUUAGUCGAACCUUCGAAUCACUCAAAACAAUACCAAAUCAUCAAAUUAUCCUCGGAUUCAAGCCUAAGAACUUCUAAAUUUCCAAAUUCGACAAUCAGUGCCGAAACCAACCAAACCACAUCCGAAUGAUCUCAAAUUUUGCACACAAAUCAAAAAUGACACUACGAACCUACUCCAACUUCCGGAAUUCCAUUCCGACCCCGAAAUCAACUUUUCCCACUACCGACUGAAAUCGCCAAAUUUCCAGAUUUUACCAAUUCAAGCCUAAUUCUACCACGGACCUCCAAAUCAUAUUCCGGGCACACUCCUGAGUCAAAAAUCACCUAACGGAGCUAACAGAACCAUCAAAAUUUAAAUCCGAGGUCGUUUACACAUAGGUCAACAUCCGGUUGACUUUUCCAAUUUAAGUUUCUAUUAAAGAGAUUAAGUGUCUCAAUUCACUCUGAAACUAUUCCGGUUCCGAACCAACUAACCCAAUAUAACUCAACACAUAUGAACAACACAUAAUGAAGUAGUAAAUGGGGGAACAUGGUUAUAAUUUUCAAAACGACUGGUUGGAUCGUUACAAAAUGGUGAGAUAUGUGUGCAACAAAAUGUCUUUGAUGAAAACAUGCAACAUCUGCAGCACAUUUGGAGGAGCAAAGUAGACCAACUCUUCAACAUCAGGCAAGGAUUUGAUGAGUCAACAAGUUUGAAAAAAUGGACAAAUCAAGUUAUUGGUCUAAAUGCGUGUCACAUUCCUUUGCAUUAUUCUUCAUUUUAAAUAAGCUCUCCUUCUCAGUAGAAUCUCAUCAUACACCACUCUAUUUGAUUUUUACUUGUGCAUUUGUUCUUCUUCUUUUGCUCAAGACAAGCAAGAAAGAAUUUUCAAAUUUGUCACAAAGAGGUCCCAAAUUAGGAAGGCAGAUGAUCAGUUUUGGUAAUCAAUAUGAAAGAGACGAUCAAUUCGGCAAUCCUAGUAAAGGGAAAUGACUUGUUUGACAAUUCAACUGAAAAAGAAUGAAUUAAUUUUUGAAAUUUGAGUGAAGUGAUCGGAAUAAACUUGGUUGAAUCCCAUGGGCAAAUCAAUAUGGACCUUCUUUAAAACCAAUUCAAAUCAAUCCUGGCAAGCCAAGUCAAAUAACAAUGCUUAAAAGUCAACUUGCAAGUUUGUCACGAGUCAACCAAUUAUUUUUAAUUAAAAAAAAGUAAAAAAUAGAAAACAAAUCAUGUAUUUGUUUUAAUUGAAGCAUCGGAUGUUUGAGAAUCUCAUUACCCUUAGGUAUUUUCUUAGUUGAGAAGAUCAUUGCCUCCCAGGCAUUUUUCCUAGUUGAGAAGAACCAUACCUCCUAGGCAAUCCUCUAGUCGAGAAGAAUCUUUAGUUUUCUUUAAGUUCAGGGGUCCCGCCUGGAAAAUAGGGUUAGUUUUUAUUCUAGUCAAGAUCAGUUUACAGUUUUCCUCAAGCUCAAUCUCACAUCUAGGAGACGCACGUCCUAGUUUGAGUUAUUCAGUUUCUAGGAGAUGCACUUCCUAUUUCAAGUUUCACCCCUAGGAGACGCACUUCCUAGUUUGGGUCUUUCAAGUCAUUCUUUUAGGAGACGCACUUCCUAAAUUGAGAUUUCACUUUUAGGAGACGCACUUCCUAGUUUGGGUAGUUUAAGUUCAUCUUUAGGAGACACACUUCCUAGUUUGGAUCAUUCAAGUAUCACCCCUAGGAGACGCACUUCCUAGUUUGGGUCAUUCAGGUUUUAUUUUUAGCAGACACAUUUGCUAGUCAAACUUUUCUUGGUUUUACUCACAGAAAACACACAUCCUAGUUGAGUUUUUAGUUCUAGUCUCAUCAUUGCAUCCUUUAUCGAUAGCAUAGGUGAUUUAUUGUUUCGCUAACAACUCAUAAAUCUUCUUAUUGCAAACUAGGGCAGAAUAUUUUGUUUGUUUUGUUUGUUUUGAUUGCAGACACUCACCUAGAGAGCGAGGGAAUUUAUUUCAAGUUUUGAGUCAUUGGCAGGCGCC
rnacentral:lncRNA from 1 species